CUUAGUGGUAACAAGCCCAGCCACUACUGAUUUUGUGCUUCGUUUUUGAACUCAAGUAAUUUUGCACUUUGUUCCCACGCAGGUUUCUACCAGAGGCUUUGUUCAUCUUGCUGAGUUCCGACUUCGUUCUAGUGUAUCUCUGAGCAUCUGGAUUAUCAGCUAAUGAGUUAAGGAACUACCUUCUUGUGGAUUUCUCUCACUUCCGUCUGUGCCUUUCGGACAUGGACCAAGCUGGCGGCUUCCUGUUUCCCUCGACUUCAGGACCCAGGCAUCAGCACACCCUGCUUCUUCCUCCAUCUUGAACAUCGGCACCUGAGCUCCUUUUGGCUGCCACCAAGCUCACAACAGAGAAGACAACUGAACAAUCCUCCUUCGCAAGUUAAGACUCUGAAUCUCUCUAACCCUGGCGGUUCUUGCUCCAACACAACAAUUUAUUGGUGUUCCCGUCCUAGACAACUUUGACAAUAAAAACCGUAAAACGUU